AGCGGAGACAGUGAGUAGCUUGCUAUGAGCUGUUUUAGCGGCGGACGGGUGAGUAACGCGUGAGCAACCUUUCCCAGACAGGGGAAUAACACACCGAAAGGUGUACUAAUACCGCAUAAGACCACGGGAUCACAUGGUUCUGGGGUAAAAGAUUUAUCGGUUUGGGGUGGGCUCGCGUCCGAUUAGGUAGUUGGUGAGGUAACGGCCCACCAAGCCGACAAUCGGUAGCCGACCUGAGAGGGUGAUCGGCCACAUUGGGACUGAGACACGGCCCAAACUCCUACGGGAGGCAGCAGUGGGGAAUAUUGGGCAAUGGGGGGAACCCUGACCCAGCAACGCCGCGUGGAGGAAGAAGGUUUUCGGAUCGUAAACUCCUGUCCUUGGAGACGAGUAGAAGACGGUAUCCAAGGAGGAAGCCCCGGCUAACUACGUGCCAGCAGCCGCGGUAAUACGUAGGGGGCAAGCGUUGUCCGGAAUAAUUGGGCGUAAAGGGCGCGUAGGCGGCUCGGUAAGUCUGGAGUGAAAGUCCUGCUUUUAAGGUGGGAAUUGCUUUGGAUACUGUCGGGCUUGAGUGCAGGAGAGGUUAGUGGAAUUCCCAGUGUAGCGGUGAAAUGCGUAGAGAUUGGGAGGAACACCAGUGGCGAAGGCGACUAACUGGACUGUAACUGACGCUGAGGCGCGAAAGUGUGGGGAGCAAACAGGAUUAGAUACCCUGGUAGUCCACACUGUAAACGAUGAAUGCUAGGUGUAGGGGGUAUCGACCCCUUCUGUGCCGCAGUCAACACAAUAAGCAUUCCGCCUGGGGAGUACGGCCGCAAGGUUGAAACUCAA
rnacentral:rRNA from 1 species